rnacentral:rRNA from 1 species
UACAGAGGUCUCAAGCGUUGUUCGGAUUCAUUGGGCGUAAAGGGUGCGUAGGCGGUGCGGCAAGUCGGGAGUGAAAUCUCUGGGCUUAACCCAGAGGCUGCUUCCGAAACUGCUGUGCUUGAGUGUGGGAGAGGCGCGUGGAAUUGCAGGUGUAGCGGUGAAAUGCGUAGAUAUCUGCAGGAACACCCGUGGCGAAAGCGGCGCGCUGGACCACUACUGACGCUGAGGAACGAAAGCUAGGGGAGCAAACAGG